ensembl:lncRNA
CCCAGGAUGGCUCCAGCAGAUCCUGAAAGCUGUCGAAAGGAGCCAGCCAGGCGCGUGCCCCAGGCUAAGGAGAUAACACAGGAUCACUCAGGAUCUUCUCAUGAAUGUGCAGGAUCUGAGCUAUCCACAGAAGAAAGAAAAUACCACAGCUGCAGCAGAGACACUGAGGUGGCUGUUGUUUGCACUGAAACCAAUGACUCGGGCACUGAAACAAAGUGACCCCAUAGAAAUAAAGAACUGCUGCAAAGCGAGUGACAGGGGCAGAAUUUGGUCCUCAGAAAGAAAAAGUGCAGCACAGAGAUGUUGAAAGGUCAUUACAUUACAAAUUGGAAGUUGCUCAGUAGUUAUCCCAAUUUCUGUUCCUUCUUCAAACAGAAGUCCA